GACGAACGCUGGCGGCGUGCUUAAUACAUGCAAGUCGAACGAACGGGCGAUGAGCUUGCUUCUUUGAUGUUAGCCGCGCGGGUGAGUAUAACACGUGGAUAACCUCCCUAUAUGACGGGGAACAUCUCGGGAAACCGGCGCAUAUACCGGAUAAUCUUCUGAACCGCGUGGUUCAAUAGAGAAAGUCGGUCUUGCUGUAACUUAUCGCUGGAUCUGCGCUGCAUUGGAUAGUUGGUGAGGUAACGGCUUAUCAAGGCAACGAUGCCUAGCCGAGCUGAUAGGCUGAUCGGCCACACUGGAACUGAGCCACGGACCAUACUCCUACGGGAGGCAGCAGUAGGGAAUCUUCCGCAAUGGGCGGAAGCAUGACGGAGCAACGGGGCGUGAGUGAUGAAGGUCUUCCGUUCGUAAAACUCUGUUAUUAGUUAAGAACAUAUGUGUAAGUAACUGUGCACAGCUUGACGGUACCUAAUCAGAAAGCCACGGCUAACUACGUG
rnacentral:rRNA from 1 species